GAGGCUGUUUGCUUUGUCUUAAUGCAGUUUUACUGAUUGAUGGCACUGUGGACAAAGAAAAGAUUCUUUGGACCAUGUUUUAGGGUUCCACUGAAACAGGAGAAUGAAAUUCCCUGACUUUUCCAGGUGUGUGUAAGAAUAUUCCAGUCUAUCUGCGUAAUGCACGUUGGCUGAGCUAAGAGAUGAACUUCUGUCGUAUCACAGUUAUUACGUAUAUGCUGAGAGGAAAAUGAUCAGUUGAACAGAUAGGCUACAACCCUAAGUAGUCUGGAUAUUUAUAUUUUAUUGCAUUUAAAAAACAUGCAUAGAAUCAAAUGAGAAAGAAGAAACAUGCCAAUGUAACUUUUAAAAUUUGGCAAAAAGCAACCUUGAUGCAGUGUACAUUUUGAAUAACACUUUAUGAAUUUUGAGGGCCAUCAGACAUGGAUCCUUCUUCAGAGAGAAAAAAAAAACUCUGGUUGAGAUGGGAGAAGCAACUACUAUUUUAUAUUGAGAACAAUGCGCUGAUUAAAGUGAAUGUGAACUAAAGACCAUCUCACAAGAAAAAGAGUAGCAAAACAUGAAAAAUUAUUAUUGUAAACGUCCAAAAGUUUUAGCACUGGAAUUAAUGCCCCUAACUAAAGAAGACAAAAUUUUGUGAAUAUGAAAAGCUUCAAGGAAAUCUAAUUCACAAACUGUUGAAGCUUCAUGGAUAAUUUUAACAAAAUUGAAGUUUUAUGAAGUUUAUGACAAGAGUACCCUGCUGUGAUUAGCCACUAAAUAUUUAUGCUUAUUUAUCUUUUUCAGACAUAAGAUUCAUAUUCUUUGAUGCAAA